ensembl:lncRNA
ACAGUUAUAGAUCCAGAAGGCAGAUUCUUAAUCAUUAAACUAUCUAUACUUGAUAAAAUGCUAUGUAUUGUAAGUGUAUAUGGUCCAAAUGUUGAUGAUCCCUCAUUCUUUCACAGUUUUUUCAGUGCACUCUCUGAACACUUAGAUGGCACACUUGUUCUUGGAGGCGACCUCAACCUUGGACCAAAUGAAGAAAUGGAUAGGCUCAAUACAGCAGGAACUCAGCGUAAUUGGCAAUCCACAAAUAUAAUCAAACAGUAUAUGAGUGACUAUGGCCUUUGCGAUGCAUGGCACUCCCUUCACCCCACCACUCUCAGGAGGGAACUGUGGCCAGAAGAAGAAGAAGCUGGUCGAUCUAGCGUAGAGAGCAGAUGUUGCCUCUCACGGGUCGAGAGACGGAUGUUCUUGCCUGUGGCUCGCUGGAGCACUGGUGGAGAAGAACUCGGUGUUAGAAAACCUAUUUGCAUGGUUUUUGAAGAUGAAAAAGCUUUUUUGAGAGAAAUGGUUAAAGGGUACGGAGCCCCGCAGGGGACAUGGGAGAAAAAAAAAUUAAGACGGACUUUUGCGGGAUCUCGCAAAAGUCCGUACCAUACACCUCCAAAUCAGCACUGAAACCUUAGAA